rnacentral:rRNA from 1 species
AUUGAACGCUGGCGGAAUGCUUUACACAUGCAAGUCGAGCGGCAGCGCGGGGCAACCUGGCGGCGAGCGGCGAACGGGGUGAGUAAUACAUCGGAACGUACCCAGUUGUGGGGGAUAGCCCGGCGAAAGCCGGAUUAAUACCGCAUACGACCUGAGGGUGAAAGGGGGGGGAUCGCAAGACCUCUCGCAGUUGGAGCGGCCGAUGGCGGAUUAGCUAGUUGGUAGGGUAAAGGCCUACCAAGGCGACGAUCCGUAGCUGGUCUGAGAGGACGACCAGCCACACUGGAACUGAGACACGGUUCAGACUCCUACGGGAGGCAGCAGUGGGGAAUUUUGGACAAUGGGGGCAACCCUGAUCCAGCCAUUCCGCGUGAGUGAAGAAGGCCUCGG